rnacentral:lncRNA from 1 species
AAAUUAUGAGCUUAUCAAAUUUAUAGAGGUCCAAUCGGUCCCUGUGGUUCGACACCCUUACUUGUACCAUUAUACUAACCAUAUAUUGGCACUUGGAAGGAACACAACAAGGACCCAAUCCGAUAUCGAUUGGUCCAUGAAAUCGGACAAUUCUAGUUCGUACGAAGUUCGUUCUGAAAUGGAGCGGUUGGUGUAUUGCAUAGUUUUAGCAAUUGG